rnacentral:rRNA from 1 species
CCUACGGGGGGCAGCAGUGGGGAAUAUUGGGCAAUGGAGGCAACUCUGACCCAGCAAUGCCGCGUGAGUGAUGAAGGUAAUUUUAUUGUAAAGCUCUUUUCUUUGGAACGAAUAAAUGACGGUACCACAGGAAUUAGCCCCGGCGAACCACGUGCCAGCAGCCGCGGUAAUACGUAGGGGGCCAGCGUUGUUCGGAAGGACUGGGAGUAAAGGGUGUGUAGGGGGUUUGAUAAGUUAGAUGUGUAAUACCCAGGGCUUAACUCGGGUGCCGCUUCUAAAACUGUUAGACUUGAGUACUGGUGAGGAUAGUGGAAGUCCUAGUGUAGCGGUGGAAUGCGUAGAUAUUAGGAGGAACAUCAGUGGCGAAGGCGACUAUCUGGACAGCAACUGACGCUGAGGCACGAAAGCGUGGGGAGCAAACAGGAUUAGAUACCCGAGUAGUC